rnacentral:tRNA from 1 species
CAGGGAGACAAAAACUGAUUGUGAUGUCUGAGUAAAAUUCUUAGUCCACAAUCCUGUCACCUUAGGUCGAUCGGUACCUCAGAUUGAUUGCUUAUUUAGUAUUCAAUUUUAGUUCCUAAACUUUUGUCUAGGUCACACUCAACAAUGGUUCUCCUGGGCCAUUAGCUCAGGUGGUUAGAGCGCACCCCUGAUAAGGGUGAGGUCCCUGGUUCAAGUCCAGGAUGGCCCAUUCGGCGUUGGGGGUAUAGCUCAGUUGGUAGAGCGCCUGCUUUGCAAGCAGGAUGUCAGCGGUUCGAGUCCGCUUACCUCCACUGAUUAACCACAAAAAUAUCCCCACGAUAUAGAGACUGAAUUUGUUGAAUGUGAUUUGGAUUUUUUUCUGAAAUGACCCUAGCUUUCUAUCAUUCCUUCAACUAAAAAUUUUUUAGAUUUGGUUGAUAACAAGCUGGGCUCUCUUUGAUUCGAAAGAAUCUUAGCGAACUUCAGUAGAACCUUGACAACUGCAUAGAUUGAGUCUGGAAAGAAUAAAGCAUCUCAUUGAUGCAUAUUCUUUUAAUCAGAAGAUUGAUUGUUUAUGCAAUUAAUCUAACUGCUUUUAAAAGAAUUAAUGUUUAAUUCGAAAGAAAUAGCCAAGGAUCUAUAGAUUAUUAGACCUUAAUUGUUUUUGUAUAUCUAUAGAUUUUUAU